rnacentral:lncRNA from 1 species
UGGCAAUGUGAAGCAGGAGCGUAAAUCGAACACUCAGUUUUGUUCCUUCAUGAAUUCCGAAGCAUCCUUUUCUUUUACUAUGGGAGAAGAAGAUUCACCUGCCGUUUACAUUUCUUCCAGACAUCAAGCUGCUUCCCAAGUAUCAAAGAAAGUAGGAAUAGAAUCACAGACCAAAGCCAGGCAAGGACUCCAACCCAUCGAAUUCUGCUGCCCAAAUUUGAGGUGACUGUAUCUCACUGAUGAAGACCCACUGCUGACUCCUGUGAACUGAACUGCCAAUUUCCUGACAAAGCAGAUAGGAUUUGCUCCAAAGAACCAUUUCUUAACAGUUCGACUUCCCCUGUAUCCUUUCUUUUCCACUACUUCUGUUGGGCGGUGGGCUAAGAGGGAAGUUAAAGCAUAUAAGAACCACAAUUAAAAAUAGGUUUUGAA